UACGUAGGGGGCGAGCGUUGUCCGGAGUUACUGGGCGUAAAGGGCAUGCAGGCGGUCGGACGCGUUUCGGGUGACAGCGGGUGGCUUAACUACCCGAGUGGUCGAAAGACGGUUUGACUUGAGGACGCGAGAGGGACACGGAAUUCCGGGUGGAGUGGUGAAAUGCGUAGAGAUCCGGAGGAACACCGAAGGCGGAGGCAGUGUCCUGGCGCGUAACUGACGCUGAGGUGCGAAAGCCAGGGGAGCGAACGGG
rnacentral:rRNA from 1 species